AUAAUGGGUCAGCGACUUAUAUUCUGUAGCAAGGUUAACCGAAUAGGGGAGCCGAAGGGAAACCGAGUCUUAACUGGGCGUUAAGUUGCAGGGUAUAGACCCGAAACCCGGUGAUCUAGCCAUGGGCAGGUUGAAGGUUGGGUAACACUAACUGGAGGACCGAACCGACUAAUGUUGAAAAAUUAGCGGAUGACUUGUGGCUGGGGGUGAAAGGCCAAUCAAACCGGGAGAUAGCUGGUUCUCCCCGAAAGCUAUUUAGGUAGCGCCUCGUGAAUUCAUCUCCGGGGGUAGAGCACUGUUUCGGCAAGGGGGUCAUCCCGACUUACCAACCCGAUGCAAACUGCGAAUACCGGAGAAUGUUAUCACGGGAGACACACGGCGGGUGCUAACGUCCGUCGUGAAGAGGGAAACAACCCAGACCGCCAGCUAAGGUCCCAAAGUCAUGGUUAAGUGGGAAACGAUGUGGGAAGGCCCAGACAGCCAGGAUGUUGGCUUAGAAGCAGCCAUCAUUUAAAGAAAGCGUAAUAGCUCACUGGUCGAGUCGGCCUGCGCGGAAGAUGUAACGGGGCUAAACCAUGCACCGAAGCUGCGGCAGCGACGCUUAUGCGUUGUUGGGUAGGGGAGCGUUCUGUAAGCCUGCGAAGGUGUGCUGUGAGGCAUGCUGGAGGUAUCAGAAGUGCGAAUGCUGACAUAAGUAACGAUAAAGCGGGUGAAAAGCCCGCUCGCCGGAAGACCAAGGGUUCCUGUCCAACGUUAAUCGGGGCAGGGUGAGUCGACCCCUAAGGCGAGGCCGAAAGGCGUAGUCGAUGGGAAACAGGUUAAUAUUCCUGUACUUGGUGUUACUGCGAAGGGGGGACGGAGAAGGCUAUGUUGGCCGGGCGACGGUUGUCCCGGUUUAAGCGUGUAGGCUGGUUUUCCAGGCAAAUCCGGAAAAUCAAGGCUGAGGCGUGAUGACGAGGCACUACGGUGCUGAAGCAACAAAUGCCCUGCUUCCAGGAAAAGCCUCUAAGCAUCAGGUAACAUCAAAUCGUACCCCAAACCGACACAGGUGGUCAGGUAGAGAAUACCAAGGCGCUUGAGAGAACUCGGGUGAAGGAACUAGGCAAAAUGGUGCCGUAACUUCGGGAGAAGG
rnacentral:rRNA from 1 species